rnacentral:rRNA from 1 species
AGAGCGAACGCUGGCGGCAGGCUUAACACAUGCAAGUCGAACGCACUCUUCGGAGUGAGUGGCAGACGGGUGAGUAACACGUGGGAACGUACCCUUCGGUUCGGAAUAACUCAGGGAAACUUGAGCUAAUACCGGAUACGCCCUUACGGGGAAAGGUUUACUGCCGAAGGAUCGGCCCGCGUCUGAUUAGCUAGUUGGUGAGGUAACGGCUCACCAAGGCGACGAUCAGUAGCUGGUCUGAGAGGAUGAUCAGCCACACUGGGACUGAGACACGGCCCAGACUCCUACGGGAGGCAGCAGUGGGGAAUAUUGGACAAUGGGCGAAAGCCUGAUCCAGCCAUGCCGCGUGAGUGAUGAAGGCCUUAGGGUUGUAAAGCUCUUUGUCCGGGAAGAUAAUGACUGUACCGGAAGAAUAAGCCCGGCUAACUUCGCGCCAGCAGCCGC